GGCAGAUACAGAAUGUGACUAGAAAGCAAUGAGUCUAGUAUUUGUGUGUGGUGCAUGGAAACCAGCCUCAUUACUUUAUAAUCACACUCUGCGUAGCA
rnacentral:pre_miRNA from 12 species